rnacentral:rRNA from 1 species
GCGGAGGAAAAGAAACCAACUGGGAUUACCUUAGUAACGGCGAGUGAAGCGGUAAAAGCUCAAAUUUGAAAUCUGGUACUUUCAGUGCCCGAGUUGUAAUUUGUAGAAUUUGUCUUUGAUUAGGUCCUUGUCUAUGUUCCUUGGAACAGGACGUCAUAGAGGGUGAGAAUCCCGUUUGGCGAGGAUACCUUUUCUCUGUAAGACUUUUUCGAAGAGUCGAGUUGUUUGGGAAUGCAGCUCAAAGUGGGUGGUAAAUUCCAUCUAAAGCUAAAUAUUGGCGAGAGACCGAUAGCGAACAAGUACAGUGAUGGAAAGAUGAAAAGAACUUUGAAAAGAGAGUGAAAAAGUACGUGAAAUUGUUGAAAGGGAAGGGCAUUUGAUCAGACAUGGUGUUUUUUGCAUGCACUCGCCUCUCGUGGGCUUGGGCCUCUCAAAAAUUUCACUGGGCCAACAUCAAUUCUGGCAGCAGGAUAAAUCAUUAAGAAUGUAGCUACUUCGGUAGUGUUAUAGCUUUUUGGAAUACUGUUAGCCGGGAUUGAGGACUGCGCUUCGGCAAGGAUGUUGGCAUAAUGGUUAAAUGCCGCCCGU